rnacentral:lncRNA from 1 species
GAUCCCGGACUUUGAGCUGAUGCCUUCACGGUAUGAGAGGUGAGUGUAUUUUGCACAUGUGAAUUGUUGUGGCUUGGGAGUGGGCUCUGUAGCUAGUCUCCAAAGAUUGCCUCUCAUCCCCCAACAAAUACUUCUACUUGUAUGUAUUUCCCACUCUUCACAUCAAGAGAUGGUGCUCAUUUCUCUUUCCUCAAAUCUCGCUGACUUUGACCAAAAGAAUAUAGUCAAAGUGAUGUUCUAGGUCUCCUGGACCCAGACUUCAAGAAAAUUGGCAGCUUCUACUUCCUAUUUCUCCUCAAAUGCUCACUCUUUGAACUCAGCCAGCAUGCUGUGAGAUAACUGAGCUACAUGGAGAGGACAUGCAGAAGAGAACUGAGGCGUCCUCACCAAUAACCCUUGCUGCCCAGCAUGAAAUGCCAGUCUAAAUGAGUCAGGCCAUUUUGGAUCUUUGAGCGAUCCCAGAGACCAACCUGAUACCACGUGAAACAGAAGAACUACUCAAACAGCCCACAGAAAUGUGAGAUAGCCUAAAUUAUUGUGUCAAGCUACUAAGAUUUGGUUGAUAGAAGACUACAGGGUAAGGGAAGUAAUACCUGCAGGGUGCUCUCAUCCUGUGUCAGGUAGCCUGCUUAUCAGUGUACACACCACUUUUGUUAACUUUCAUAAAGCCUUUGUGAAGAAAAUGGUGGUAGAAGCAGGAAAAUAAGACUGAGAUAAGUAAAUUCAUCAAAAUGACAUAGCUAGUCAACAGUAAUACCAGAAUUCAAAUCUGGAUUGGCUCCAAUGCCUAUAUUCUUUCUAGUGUACCACGACACUCACCAAUACUUUAUAAUUAACAGAAAAACUUCAAGUUUAGCUGGAGAAAAACAUGACUUGCAAUUUUACUUUUUUCAAAAUGACUUACAGUUUUUAAAGCGCACUAAUCAAGAAACUUGUUUAUAUUAUUAGGUACAAGCAAAUCCUUAUUUUAUAUACAAUGCUAAUUCUAUAUAUAGCCAAAUUCUGGCUUUCUCCUAGUCUUGAUAGACUUUUAUUGAAUUUCUUUUCUUCUUUUAGCACGUAUUAUUCAAAUAACAGAAAGAUGUUUGUUGCUUAUUUUGAUAAUAAAUU